rnacentral:rRNA from 1 species
GAUGAACGCUGGCGGCGUGCUUAACACAUGCAAGUCGAACGAAGCACCUCUCCCGAAGAUUGACACAGCUUGCUGUAGAUUGAUUCAUUUGAGGUGACUGAGUGGCGGACGGGUGAGUAACGCGUGGGUAACCUGCCUCAUAGAGGGGGACAACAGUUGGAAACGACUGCUAAUACCGCAUAGUAAGAAGAAUUCGCAUGUUUUCUUCUUGAAAGAUUUAUCGCUAUGAGAUGGACCCGCGUCUGAUUAGCUAGUUGGUAAGGUAACGGCUUACCAAGGCGACGAUCAGUAGCCUGCUUGAGAGAGUGAACGGCCACAUUUGGACUGAGACACGGCCCAAACUCCUACGGGAGGCAGCAGUGGGGAAUAUUGCACAAUGGGGGAAACCCUGAUGCAGCGACGCCGCGUGAGUGAAGAAGUAUUUCGGUAUGUAAAGCUCUAUCAGCAGGGAAGAUAAUGACGGUACCUGACUAAGAAGCCCCGGCUAACUACGUG